rnacentral:rRNA from 1 species
UGACAUACGUUAAAGGGCCGCGGUAUUUUGACCGUGCGAAGGUAGCAUAAUCAUUAGUCUUUUAAUUGGAGGCUUGUAUGAAUGGUUGGACAAAAAAUAAGCUGUCUCUGUUUUAUUUCUUGAAUUUAACUUUUAAGUGAAAAGGCUUAAAUGUUCUAGGGGGACGAUAAGACCCUAUAAAGCUUUACAGUGUGCUAAUUAAGUUAUAAAUUGUUAGUAUAAACUUGGUUUGGUUAGUAGCUGUUUCGUUGGGGCGACGAAAAUAUAAUUGAUAGUAACUGUUUUUCUUUUAUAAUAACAAUAAAUUUUUGGUAGAAAUUGAUCCUUUAUUAAAGAUUAAAAGAUUAAGUUACUUUAGGGAUAACAGCGUAAUCUUCUUUGAGAGUUCAUAUCGACAAGAAGGGUUGCGACCUCGAUGUUGAAUU